rnacentral:rRNA from 1 species
UACAGAGGGGGCAAGCGUUGUUCGGAAUUACUGGGCGUAAAGGGCGCGUAGGCGGCCUUCUAAGUCGGAACGUGAAAUCCCCGGGCUCAACCCGGGAACUGCGUCCGAGACUGAAAGGCUUGAAUCCGGGAGAGGGAUGUGGAAUUCCAGGUGUAGCGGUGAAAUGCGUAGAUAUCUGGAGGAACAUCGGGUGGCGAAGGCGGCAUCCUGGACCGGGUAUUGACGCUGAGGCGCGAAAGCCAGGGGAGCAAACGGGAUU